rnacentral:rRNA from 1 species
GGAUGAACGCUGGCGGCGUGCCUAAUACAUGCAAGUCGAGCGAACAGACGAGGAGCUUGCUCCUUUGACGUUAGCGGCGGACGGGUGAGUAACACGUGGGUAACCUACCUAUAAGACUGGGAUAACUUCGGGAAACCGGAGCUAAUACCGGAUAAUAUUUCGAACCGCAUGGUUCGAUAGUGAAAGAUGGCUCUGCUAUCACUUAUAGAUGGACCUGCGCCGUAUUAGCUAGUUGGUAAGGUAACGGCUUACCAAGGCAACGAUACGUAGCCGACCUGAGAGGGUGAUCGGCCACACUGGAACUGAGACACGGUCCAGACUCCUACGGGAGGCAGCAGUAGGGAAUCUUCCGCAAUGGGCGAAAGCCUGACGGAGCAACGCCGCGUGAGUGAUGAAGGUCUUCGGAUCGUAAAACUCUGUUAUUAGGGAAGAACAAACGUGUAAGUAACUGUGCACGUCUUGACGGUACCUAAUCAGAAAGCCACGGCUAACUACGUGCCAGCAGCCGCGGUAAUACGUAGGUGGCAAGCGUUAUCCGGAAUUAUUGGGCGUAAAGCGCGCGUAGGCGGUUUUUUAAGUCUGAUGUGAAAGCCCACGGCUCAACCGUGGAGGGUCAUUGGAAACUGGAAAACUUGAGUGCAGAAGAGGAAAGUGGAAUUCCAUGUGUAGCGGUGAAAUGCGCAGAGAUAUGGAGGAACACCAGUGGCGAAGGCGACUUUCUGGUCUGUAACUGACGCUGAUGUGCGAAAGCGUGGGGAUCAAACAGGAUUAGAUACCCUGGUAGUCCAC